rnacentral:misc_RNA from 1 species
GAGUGAAUCGUGACCGUUGAGAUCGAAAUAUGGAUCUUAGCCGUUGAUAGGUUUGGCAACCGAAGCUACAUUCCAGGGCGGUAAUCGUCCAGGUGGAAAGAGAUAAACGAACGAGUACAUUUUAUUUUAUAGACCCGAGGAUUAACGCCAGAAACUUGACGGCUCCUCCGAUUUCUUAAUAUUUUGUGCCCAUCUCUCUCUGAAAACUGGCUGGGCGUAGCCAUCAAGCCCAUCAAUUCACAUAACCAGGCACAUGCAAGUCGCCAAUUCUAUGAUUCCACAGAUACUAUUCCAUUGCAAUAGAACAUUGAAUGAAUUAUAUAGUCUUGCAAGCUUGCUACCAACAUUUCACUGCAGAAUUCACCUCAACAGAGAAAGACUGGAGAGAAGAAAUUACAGGAGACAUUAGGGGAAGUCAAGAGAUGAAGAGGAAUUCUGUGAAGGGUAAGGUUGGAUGGACAUAAAUCAGGUUAUAUUAUCAAGUGAAAAUGGGAAUCUACAGUCUAAUUUCAUUGAGUUAGGUGGUCCAUUCUUGGAUUCCACCAACCAAACCACCACCACUACAGUGCCAAGAUGAAAAGAAAAGGUCUCAUUGAUGAGACUGGCUGCUGUCUCCUUAGAAGUCAAGUAGAAGCAAGAAGAACUUUUAGUAUAUAGCGCUUAACCAAAC